rnacentral:rRNA from 1 species
AGUAGCCGCGGGAAUACAGAGGGUGCGAGCGUUAAUCGGAUUUACUGGGCGUAAAGCGUGCGUAGGCGGCUUUUUAAGUCGGAUGUGAAAUCCCUGAGCUUAACUUAGGAAUUGCAUUCGAUACUGGGAAGCUAGAGUAUGGGAGAGGAUGGUAGAAUUCCAGGUGUAGCGGUGAAAUGCGUAGAGAUCUGGAGGAAUACCGAUGGCGAAGGCAGCCAUCUGGCCUAAUACUGACGCUGAGGUACGAAAGCAUGGGGAGCAAACAGGAUUAGAUACCCGGGUAGUCCCUGUCUCUUAUACA